rnacentral:rRNA from 1 species
CAAUAGCGUAUAUUAAAGUUGUUGCAGUUAAAAAGCUCGUAGUUGGAUUUCUUUUGAAUGAUGGAUCCUGGCGUGUUUCUGCCUUUUAUGGUAGAACAUUGUCUUCCACUUAUUCAAAAUUUUUGUAAUUUCUGUAAUUGAAUUGUUCACUAUUAUACUUAAUUGUAUAAUUUUGUACAAUUCUUUACAUUAAGGGAAUUGCAUCUUUUACUGUGAAAAAAUCAGCGCGUUCAAAGCAGGCUUUAUGCUCUCUGAAUGUCUCAGCAUGGAAUAAUAAAAUAAGUCUCAUCUUUAUUUUGUUGGUUUGCAAAGAAGAGAAAUGAUUAACAGGGACAGUUGGGGGUAUUCGUAUUAGGAUGUCAGAGGUGAAAUUCAUAGAUUUUCUUAAGACGAACUACUGCGAAAGCAUUUACCAAGGAUGUUUUCAUUAA